UACGUAGGUGGCAAGCGUUGUCCGGAAUUAUUGGGCGUAAAGAGCGCGCAGGCGGUCGUUCAAGUCGCGUGUGAAAGCCCCCCGGCUCAACUGGGGAGGGUCACGCGAUACUGAUCGACUCGAAGGCAGGAGAGGGAAGUGGAAUUCCCGGUGUAGUGGUGAAAUGCGUAGAUAUCGGGAGGAACACCAGUGGCGAAGGCGACUUCCUGGCCUGUUCUUGACGCUGAGGCGCGAAAGCUAGGGGAGCAAACGGG
rnacentral:rRNA from 1 species